rnacentral:rRNA from 1 species
UACGUAGGGGGCAAGCGUUUGUCCGGAUUUACUGGGCGUAAAGAGCGUGUAGGCGGCCAAACAGGUCCGUUGUGAAAACUGGAGGCUCAACUUCCAGACGUCGACGGAACCGUGUGGCUAGAGUCCGGAAGAGGAGAGUGGAAUUCCUGGUGUAGCGGUGAAAUGCGCAGAUAUCAGGAAGAACACCCGUGGCGAAGGCGGUUCUCUGGGAC